rnacentral:rRNA from 1 species
UACGUAGGGGGCAAACGUUGUCCGGAAUAACUGGGCGUAAAGGGCGAGUAGGUGGUCUGUCAAGUCAGAAGUGAAAACUGCGGGCUCAACCCGGAGAUUGCUUUUCGAAACUGGCAGACUUGAGUGCAGGAGAGGGAAGCGGAAUUCCUAGUGUAGCGGUGAAAUGCGUAGAUAUUAGGAGGAACACCAGUGGCGAAGGCGGCUUCCUGGCCUGUAACUGACACUGAGGCGCGAAAGCGUGGGGAGCAAACAGG